rnacentral:lncRNA from 1 species
UGUUAAGACAGAAUUCAUGGUACAAGCUUACAUGGCAAGAGGUAAAUGUGGGCGAUAUUGUGAAGGCCUGCAACAGGGAGUUCCUUCCUGCAGACUUAGUCCUGAUUUCUUCCAGGCUUUGUCAGAAACAGCUGAAAUGAAAACGGAAAAGCAGUUGUUAGACCUCGCUGGAAGACUAGAAUGUGAAGGACCUAAUCGUCAUCUUGAUAGCUUUUCUGGAACUUGGUGGCUAAGGGAUAAAAGGUAUCAUCUUUUUCUUCUUAA